UCAGGUUCCCACGGGAAGCUUUUUACCUGCUUUGUUUGAUGGAACUACUUUAUACUUUGUACCCAGGUUAUAAGAGCAUUUAUAUAUUAAAGAUCUGUUUUUUGCUACAGAUACGUGAAAGUCAAACAUAUUUCAGAAAAUGUCAUCAGUGAAAAUGUCCAGAUUUUCUCUCUGCUGAUCAAAACUUCAAGAACUUUCUGCUUCUCCUCCGAAAAGUUGUAAAUAUCCUUGUAUCCACGACAAGGUGAGCUUUGUAAAUUAUGAGGUCAAAAACUGUGUUUUUUCCCGUAGAUUUGUAAAAUGGCUUCUAAUUCUACAGGUUACUGGUUAAAAGCUGAAUCCUCUCAGGUGGAUGACAGGGAACAGAUUUUGACCCCUCAAACAUUUAAAACUAAUAUUUUUAACAUCUUUUAUCAUGGUGAUUAUUUAUUUUGUUUUGCUGAUUUUUGCUGCUUUUGUUUGUUGCAAUGUUGUAUUACCUUGAUAUUUAUUCCAAAAAGGUGAACUUUUCUUAUUUUCCUGCUUGUAUUGUCAGGUUGUGUUCUCUGCAUGUAUUUAGGUAAAAAUGAUUUCUGAUGUUCAGAUAGGAUUUCUCAAUAAUCGGGAUGCUGAAUGAUUUGUUUCUCUGAGAGAACAAUAAAUGAUUCAGAACGUUUAUAAGUUAAAACAAAUGCACUUUUACCACAUUUUGUCUUCAGUCUAGAGUUUUCUUCCUGUAGCAGUUUGAGACAAAAGUUUCUUAUCAGAAUAUUUCUGUCUUUCUAAAUGUGCACAAGAAACGCCAACAGCAGGAACGUUAGGCUUUUGUUCUCAUACAUUUGUACAUUUUGCUGAAGAACAAAACUUAAACAAACAAACUUUGCUGAAACUGGAUCUGCAUCCAAACCAGGUAUGAACCGUUAACAGUCAUAACAUCUGUAAACAAACUGAUCUGCUUAAAAGACUUUUUCUGCUCUCAUGAAGGAAGUUUCUGUGAUGUGUUUUAAUCUCUUUGUUUUCUCUUCAGUGCUUUGUGUUCUGUUAUCGCUGUAACAGUAAGUCGAACGAUGUUUUCUUUUCUCGGCCUGCAUCGGAUUAGACUUUGGACCGAACUUCAUUCAACAUGACGCGGCACCUUUGGCAACCUGCCCACCCUAAAGCUAAAUGUUUUUGCAGAAUCAAACAGCAAAGCUCAAAUGUUUCUCAUUUUCCUGCAUCAGAGAAACAUCUCAACUCCAUAGUCAGAAAAGUACAAUAAUAUUCAGCAUUUUUGCGUUUGCAUUGAAACUUAUGCUUGUGAUCAAAGUAAUCUAUUCUUUGUAGGAAGAGGAAAAUAAAAUCAAGUCAUUUAUAUGUUUAAUGAGGAUUUUAAUCAUUUUUUAGAUAUUCCAAACAUUGAAUUUCUGUCAUUAAAUCCCCGUUGCUUUAUUUUUAUUUUUCAGCCUUCAGUCUGACAUUUAAAUGUUCCAGCUUGCAGCACUGUGGUGCUUUCGCAGCAGAAUCAUUUCCUCAGUCUUCUGUGGACGCUGCACGCCUGCGUCAAGCUCAGGGCUCAUGUUCAACAGUUCUUCACUAAACCAAAGUACAAUGAAGCCCAGCAGAGGGGAAAUGAGAUGGAGGAAGUCUGCGGUCGCCCUGCAGUCAGCAGGAAGCAUCAGUGAACCCACAAUGGAGCCCGGCAACGAAAAACCCCAUAGCAACGGUUGAAGUCUGCUGUUCAACAGGACAGGUUCUCUGAACAUUUAGAGAGGCUGUGUGUCUCUGACCUCCAGCUGUUUCCAGAAGCUUCAUCUGAGCGGAAAUCAUCCAGGAAGUCUGGGAAUGAAGCUGCUCUCUGCUGGACUGGGGCGGAGAUGCGGUUCUGCCAGCUUUGUGCUUCCAUACUUGUGGAUAAACAAGGAGCAGGAGGGUGAACAAACAGGAAUUGGUUUUUGACCUGGAUUAUGCUGAGCGGUGAAGACGCAUGUUCUCCAGGAUUCUCCACGCUCUUUUUCUGGAGUGUUGCAUUUCAAAAAUACGGUAUGUUUGUCCUUCUUUUUUUUGACGAUGUAUAUUUUAUCUUUAUAUGAUUAAAAAACAAAAACAGUGAGUAUAUGGAGAUAAUGUGGUUAUUCCCAGCAAUCAAAUAUAAUGUUAUUUUCUAAAAUUGAACUUACAUCAGAUUUGUUGUUGCUGAUCUAGACAGAAAUGAUAAACGUAUUUUAUUUUGGAGCGACAUCCAGAGGAAAUGAAGCUGCGGUCCAG